rnacentral:ncRNA from 2 species
UUAUAAGAAGAUAAAAACACAGUUUGGUUGGUAGUCCAAACGCAUUUAUAUUCAUAUAAAAUAAAUGUCAGUAACCUGCCCUCGCGGGUUGUCCACUCUUCUUAAAAACUUA